rnacentral:rRNA from 1 species
UACGGAGGGUGCAAGCGUUAUCCGGAAUCACUGGGUUUAAAGGGUGCGUAGGUGGCUUGAUAAGUCAGUGGUGAAAGCCCACCGCUCAACGGUGGAAUUGCCAUUGAUACUGUCAGGCUUGAAUAAGGUUGAGGUCGGCGGAAUGUGUCAUGUAGCGGUGAAAUGCAUAGAUAUGACAUAGAACACCAAUUGCGAAGGCAGCUGGCUAGACCUUUAUUGACACUGAGGCACGAAAGCGUGGGGAGCGAACAGG